rnacentral:rRNA from 1 species
UUGUUGCAGUUAAAAGCUCGUAGUUGGAUUUCUGGUACAACGCGCCUGGCCCGCUUUUGUGAGUGCCGGUGCACGUUUGCCAUCCUUCUAGAAACCGUUUCUACCCGGGCAACUGGGCCGGACUCGUGAUCUAGAUCUUUUACUUUGAAAAAAUUAGAGUGUUUAAAGCAGGCUUUUGCUAUGAAUACAUUAGCAUGGAAUAAUAAUCUAGGACUUCGGUUCUAUUUUGUUGGUUUCUAGUACUGAAGUAAUGAUUGAUAGGGAUAGUUGGGGGUGCUAGUAUUGGCCGGCCAGAGGUGAAAUUCUUGGAUUCGGUCAAGACUAACUUAUGCGAAAGCAUUCACCAAGGAUGUCUUCUUUAAUCAAGAACGAAAGUUGGGGGAUCGAAGACGAUCAGAUACCGUCGUAGUCUCAACCAUAAACUAUGCCAACUAGGGAUGGGUGAACGUUGUUUUUUUGACUUCAUCUGCACCUUAUGAGAAAUCAAAGUCUUUGGGUUCCGGGGGGAGUAUGGUCGCAAGGCUGAAACUU